GUUUCUUGUUAAACACUGUUCUCCCUCCAGUAUUCCUGAAACUUCACUUUUAGAAUCAGAUUCUUCUGAAAGACUUGAUUCAGAGGCAUCGACGUCAUGCUUUUCCACACAAUAUGGGCAAGAGCACUGCAGAGGCAGCAUUUCUUAACAGAAUUUAUGGAAGAUCUGAAAACCAUCAGGACUUGGCUUUUAAGCUGGGUUUGUGAUGAUUUCCAGGUAAUCUCAAUCUCAGCAGUAUUAGGAUGUGUCAACAUUGUGCAUCUUCAAGGAUAAUGGAAUGUGGCUGAAGCAGAGAGGGUGUGUGUGUGUGUACACACUCAUGUGUGUGUGUUGUUGCAGUGGGCAGGGUGAGGUCCUCCUUGAAGCAGAUGCUAAAAUAAAAUGAAAAGUGCAAGAGAGUUAUUGCGGGAAAUGACAGUGAAAGAUAAA